GGCGGGAGCGGCUGGGCAGCUCGCUGGGCUCAUAACCCAGAGGUCGCAGGUUCAAAUCCUGUCCCCGCUA
rnacentral:tRNA from 1 species